UGCUCACUCUUUCUGUAGCAGUGAAGGCAAGAGAGGCCCCCGAGUCUAGAGCUGCUCUUAAGGAGCUGCUGGGAGCACCGGCCUCCUUCCUCGGCAGAGGUGAGGACACAUCGCGGGGAGGCCGCCGGGAGCCCAGGCCCAACUCUGUACUUUGUGCGAUUGUGGAAUCUGCUAAAAAUGUUUCGGAUACUUGCUUGGCACGAUCUUCUCAAUAGCUUGAUUACUACGACGACGUUCAUAUUUACAACCUCAUUUGAUCUUAUUUUUUG
rfam:Canis lupus familiaris chromosome 14, whole genome shotgun sequence.